rnacentral:lncRNA from 10 species
AGUGCGCUGCCAGGGUCCUGCGGGUUGGGGCGAGGGCCGAGAGGUGGGAGUUGGAGGUGAACGUGGGGGCAGCAUGCUGGCUGCCCGGCCCCUGCCUGGGUUCUGAGUUGCUGCGGUGUCGCGGGAGCUGAGGCCGCCCAGGGCGUGGAGCGACUUCUGCGUCUCGUCCCAGGGUCCUGUGCUCCCCGCAGAAUCCCCCAGGCGCGGUGUGGACGUCAAAGCGACCUCCUAGAGAACAUUCCUAGCUCUCAGAACGUUCUCGCUGGGGAGGGAAAGUGGAAAAAGAGGGGGCGAGGAGCGGAGGGACGGGGUGGGACCCCUGUCGCGGGGCGCCUGUCAGGGAGAGGGACCUGGCAAGGCCGGCCUGGGUCGCCUCCGGAGCUGAAGGCUAAGUGGUCUCAUCCAGGGGACCUGCUGUGAACACAUUGAAUAGCAUAGAAAACAAAAGCACACGCUCCAAGUCCAUCUCUUUUUUUUUUUUUUUUUUUUUUUUUUUUUUUUUUUUUUUUUGAGGCAGAGUCCCGCUCUGUCGCCCAGGCUGGAGUGCGGUGGCGCCAUCGCGCUCACUGCAAGCUCCGCCUCCCUGGUUCACGCCAUUCUCCUGCCUCAGCCUCCCGAGUAGCUGGGACUACAGGCGCCCGCCGCCACACCCGGCUAAUUUUUUGUAUUUUUAGUAGAGACGGGGUUUCACCAUGUUAGCCAGGAUGGUCUCGAUCUCCUGACCUCGUGAUCCACCCGCCUCGGCCUCCCAAAGUGCUAGGAUUACAGGCGUGAGCCACCGCGCCGGCAAGUCCAUCUCUUAAAAUGUGCUCCCGUCAGGACCUGGGCUCUGGGCUCCACGAAGGAGCCUUGCAUGUGAGGUUUCCUUCCAAAAAUGAUCAUGCGAUUGUAAAACAGUGGGAAUGCAGCUGUGUAAACUACGGCCGGUUCUAUGGAUGUUUCUAUAAUUGAAGAAUUGCUUUUUGUCAAAAAUACGGAUUCCCGGUCCCCAACGCAGGAGGGUCUGGUUUUUAGAUCCUGGAGGGCACCUGAAAUCCAUUUAACAAGCUUUAGGGUUCAUGUCUGCUGUUUUUUGCCUUGUUUCCUUUGCAUUUUUUUUUUUUUUUUUUUUUUGUGCCUUCCAAUGGAUACAGUACAUUUUUUUAGAAUUCCAUCUUGAUUUACUGAUAAUGUCUUGGGAAAUAUCAUUAUGUAUAGUUUUCGUAGUGGUUCCUCUAGGUAUCACAGCACGCAGACGUAACUUCUCACAACCUGUUUGCGUGGAUGUUUUGUUGUACCUGAGCGAGUUAGAAAAACACCACCUUUGAGACGAAUUAAGAGUCCUUUAUUAGCUGGCGACCGAGAGACGGCUAACGCUCAAAAUUCUCUCAGCCCCGAGGAAGGGGCUUGAUUAACUUUUAUACCUUGGUUUAGGAAGGGGGGGGGGUCUAGUUAAAACAAUUUUACAGAAGUAAAGUAGUCAAAAAGUUAAAAGGGUAAAUGGUUACAGGAAAGUAAACAGUUCAAGGUGCAGGGGCUUUAAGACUAUUACAAGAUGAUAGACCCGGGGCUUUGGGCGUUAUCAAUCGGACAAAUUCCUGGGAACUGCGGAUGUAGCUUGCCACAGUAUCUUACCAGUUAAUUGCAUUCUUGGAUGUGGUGGGAGUCAGCCUGCACAAGUUAAGUCCUUGAGAAAGGGGCUGCCAGUGAAAGAGCCAAGAUGGAGUCUGUCUGGCUCUCUUAGCUAAGGGAGAGUCAAUUCAGGUGGAAACAGGGCUAGGUGAUUAAAGGAAAAGGGAGAGUCUGAAAACAGUUAGUAAAAACCAGGUUGGGCAUUACAGUUUUACUGGUUCAAGGGAAGUAUUACUAUAUACUUCCCCGUCCCUCCGCUUCUCGCCCCCCUUUUUCCGUUUUCCCUCCCCAGCUAGAACGUUCUGAGAGCUAGGAAUGUUCUCUAGGAGGUCGCUUUGACGUCCACACUAUAUUAGACAGCAUGAAAAUAACUUCAGACCCCAAUAGACCAAUAUCUCUCGUGAACUUAGACACAAAAAUCCUUAACGAAAUGUUAGCAAAUUGAAUCCAACACUAUAUGAAAUGAAUCAUACACCACAACCCAAGGUGGUUUAUUCAGAAGAUGCAAGGCUAAUCUGGUAUUUGAAAAUCAACCAAUGUAAUACACCUUACCAGCAGGUGAAAGACGAAAUCUAUGACCAGAUUGCCUGAUGCAGUUUUCUGCAUCACUUGACAAAAUUAAAUACUCAUUUAUGAUAAAAACAAAAACUGCUCUCAGCAAAUAAGGACUAAAGGGGAGCUGCUUCAGCUUGAUAAAGCACAUGCGUGAAAACUCUGCAUCAUUGUACUUAAUCAUGAAA